CACAUGCACGCAGGCAAAACACUCAUUCACAUAAAAUGAAUAAAAAAAAUUCCCACAAGAACUUGAAGUGGAAACUUAAGGGUUCUUUGGAAAUUUGGUUGGAUGGUGUUCUGCUGAGGCAAACAUGUGAAGGAACAUUUUGUUGAAGUGGACAUGGUGAAAGACUAAGGCAGACUCGUGAAGGAACUCAUGUAGGGACAUGUAAAGGAAUGGUUCGCUGAGGCAGACACAGGUGAAAGGACCCAUGAUGGAGGACUCUUCACUGAGGACCGACUGGAUUGGUCCACUAUACAUUGCGUAGUUGAACUGCAUUUGUUGGGACUCCAUAGAGAGAAACGCACCAAAAACCUUCUGGUGGUGUGCUGCGGUUUCUUGCCGCUUCUGUGGAUACCUGCGGAGUGAUGUCAGCUGAGACAGAGGCACUGUGCUGUGUGGUGUCUGGAGGACUCCAGGGACAGUGACGUAGGCAGAGCUUAGCCUGCCAGUACAGCUAGUUGUGCAAUGGUUGUGGAUCUUGAGUCUUUGCUCUUUGCUUCCCUGCGAGAGGCACGGCUGACUCCUGGUGUCUGUCUGGAUCCCUCCUGCUGACUUGUGUCAAGGCUGAGGCCUGCCUGUCUCUGCUAUGUCAUGCCACCGAUCCUGAUUCACGUUUGUUCUCCCAGUUCUAGGGAACUGGACUGCUGAGGUAUCCGUGAAGAGGAGGUGCUGCUGCUGAGCUGUGGACUGAACGGCCGAUGUCCAGACAACACGGAUGGAGUCGCUCCAAAGAACCUUCCUAACAUCUGACUGGAAGCUAUUCAUGAGGAAGCAACGAAACUGCCAUCCACACCCCCGGGCUGGAGAGGCCUGGGGACAUCUGUGGGUGAACCAGACUGACCAGCUUGGCUCCCACACCUCAACCCAGUUCCAGCUUUAAGACCUAUAAAAGCUCCCGGAGCAGCAGUUUGAUGAUGCCCCCUCUCUGAGGCCUGCUUCUGCUGUACGGGGCAGCUCUAUGCACUUUCUCUGGAGCUCAUGUCUGUGAGCCUAUAAUAAACUCCUUCUGCAAACUCA